rnacentral:rRNA from 1 species
UACAGAGGCCCCAAGCGUUACUGAGAAUCACUGGGUUUAAAGGGUGCGUAGGUGGCGCGUUAAGUUCGUUGUGAAAUCCCUGGGCUCAACCCAGGAAUUGCUUCGAAUACUGGCGUGCUUGAGGCUAGUAGGGGUCACUGGAACUGACGGUGGAGCGGUGAAAUGCGUAGAUAUCGUCAGGAACGCCGAUGGUGAAGACAGGUGACUGGGCUAGUUCUGACACUGAGCACGAAAGCGUGGGGAGCGAACGG